CCUGAUGGCUCAGAUGGUAAAGUAUGUGCCUGUACUGCACGAGACCCAGGUUUGAACCCUGGGUCAGGA
rnacentral:tRNA from 1 species